CAUUGUCGAAUCCUGUAAAACAGAAUGCCCCGCGAAUAGUUGGAUUUGUACCAUUUCAAUGGGGAACCUCGUCGGCUAGCACGGUCGAGGCGUCUCCAUUAAAAUUGAAAAAACCCGGCGCGGCUCGCGCCAAGGAAAUUUUUAAGGAAAGAGCGCGUCGGGAUCGAUAAAUGACCCCGAUGGCGUAGAUUUCUAGUGAUUGUUGAAUGACUCUCGGCAACGGAUAUCUCGGCUCUCGCAUCGAUGAAGAACGUAGCGAAAUGCGAUACUUGGUGUGAAUUGCAGAAUCCCGUGAACCAUUGAGUUUUUGAACGCAAGUUGCGCCCGAGGCCAUUCGGUCGAGGGCACGUCUGCCUGGGCGUCACGCAAACGCCGCCCUCAUUCCCUUUGGUGUGAGAGCGAAGGAUGGCCCCCCGCGGCUCAACACGCGGCCGGCUGAAAUAGCUCGUCUUCUCGUGGCUUCACAGCACGAUUGGUGGUGGUUGACACAAAGCCCUUUGUUGCGAUCGGACAACGUGAUUGGAAGCACGAGGCGAGCGGACCCUUUUCUACAAGAUGCGACCUCAGGUCAGGCGGGGCCACCCGCUGAGUUUAAGCAUAUC
rnacentral:rRNA from 1 species